UACGUAGGGGGCAAGCGUUGUCCGGAUUUAUUGGGCGUAAAGCGCUCGCAGGUGGUUCGAUGCGUCGUGCGUGAAAGACCCCGGCUCAACUGGGGAGGGUCGUGCGAUACGGUCGGACUGGAGGCCAGUAGGGGGAUGCGGAAUUCCGGGUGUAGUGGUGGAAUGCGUAGAGAUCCGGAGGAACACCAGCGGCGAAGGCGGCAUCCUGGACUGGUCCUGACACUCAUGAGCGAAAGCGUGGGGAGCGAGCCGG
rnacentral:rRNA from 1 species